CACCCAUCCCCGGGGAGUCGCCAUCCCAUCAAAUUUUGAUGGGACUCGUAAAUGCGUCUGAGAGGCAGGUGUAACGCCCUGCGACCCGCUGAACCUGAUCCCGCCCCUCAUGCAUGAGGGCUUACGGGCGGAGGGAGGGAGCGGUUUUCACAA
rnacentral:ncRNA from 1 species